GACGAACGCUGGCGGCGUGCCUAACACAUGCAAGUCGAACGGAACUGUUUUGAAAGAUUUCUUCGGAAUGAAUUUGAUUUAGUUUAGUGGCGGACGGGUGAGUAACGCGUGAGUAACCUGCCUUCAAGAGGGGAAUAACAUUCUGAAAAGAAUGCUAAUACCGCAUGACAUAUCGGAACCACAUGGUUUUGAUAUCAAAGAUUUUAUCGCUUGAAGAUGGACUCGCGUCCGAUUAGUUAGUUGGUGAGGUAACGGCUCACCAAGACCGCGAUCGGUAGCCGGACUGAGAGGUUGAACGGCCACAUUGGGACUGAGACACGGCCCAGACUCCUACGGGAGGCAGCAGUGGGGGAUAGUGCGCAAUGGGGGCAACCCUGACGCAGCAACGCCGCGUGAAGGAUGAAGGUUUUCGGAUUGUAAACUUCUUUUAUUAAGGACGAAAAAUGACGGUACUUAAUGAAUAAGCUCCGGCUAACUACGUG
rnacentral:rRNA from 1 species